AAGUCUGACGGAGCAACGCCGCGUGAGCGAUGAAGGCCUUCGGGUCGUAAAGCUCUGUUGUUAGGGAAGAACAAGUAUCGGAGUAACUGCCGGUACCUUGACGGUACCUAACCAGAAAGCCACGGCUAACUACGUGCCAGCAGCCGCGGUAAUACGUAGGUGGCAAGCGUUGUCCGGAAUUAUUGGGCGUAAAGCGCGCGCAGGCGGUCCUUUAAGUCUGAUGUGAAAGCCCACGGCUCAACCGUGGAGGGUCAUUGGAAACUGGGGGACUUGAGUGCAGAAGAGGAAAGCGGAAUUCCACGUGUAGCGGUGAAAUGCGUAGAGAUGUGGAGGAACACCAGUGGCGAAGGCGGCUUUCUGGUCUGUAACUGACGCUGAGGCGCGAAAGCGUGGGGAGCAAACAGGAUUAGAUACCCUGGUAGUCCACGCCGUAAACGAUGAGUGCUAAGUGUUAGAGGGUUUCCGCCCUUUAGUGCUGCAGCUAA
rnacentral:rRNA from 1 species